CCUUUUGCUAUGCCAUCACCAUCAUCAUCUUCUUCAUGUACUCCGUAUAUCAGUACUAGCUUCCUCCGAAGUUUUGAUACAUCAAACCGUUGAAAUUAGUCGAUUUCUUUUUAUUGGGGUUUUGAGAAGGGGGUGUAUUUAAUUUGUUUAGCCAUUUGGCUUGGAAGAAACAUCUGUUUUGAUUUUCAUCCAUGGUUGUUCUUUUAUUUUUCUUUUGAUAUUCUCUAACCAAAUUAUUUUUGAUGAAACGAAAAUCUGGGUCUCCUCAUUCGCACCCAAAUCCAGUUGUUUUUAAAGGUUAAGUUAGGAUUUUUGGAUGAUUUAAUAACUUAAACCCAACAAUAAUUAACCCCGCAAACAUUCGCACAAGAGUCAGGAAAAAAAGCUCCUGGUGGUCUUGCGUUUGGUUCGAUUUUCGCAAACAUUAGGAUUUGGUUCCGAUUUUCGUGAUUUGGUUCAGAUUGGAGGAGGGGACGUGGGGAUUUGGGUGGGGAGAGAGAAUUGGGGAGGACUAGAUUGGUGUUAGCUCCUCCUUCAGCAAGGAACAGAGUUGGGCUUGCGUUUAUGGCAUUCAACGAUGAUGUCUUCGGGGGUGGAGAAAGAGAAGAGGCGGGUGGAGAUGGAACAUGGUGGUGGGGCACGGUGGUGAUAUGGGUGGUAGAAGAAAGACUCCUGGGAAGGAGAAAGAGUAUAAAGAAAAGAAUAAAGAAAAAAAGAAAGAAAAAAAAAAUUAGAGCUAAAAGUUAACAUAAAAGUUAACGGUAUAGACGGAAAAGCUCAUGAAGGGCAUUUUGUAUAUUUUUAUAAAACCUCGGGGGUAUUUGGUGCAUUUUAGAAAGUUUAGGGGUAUUUGGUGCAUUUAGUUAAAUCUCAGGGGCAUUUCAUGAAAAAUCCGAAAAAAAACGAUAUUCUACAUGUCUGAUCUCACUUGCAUCGCUACCAUAAUAUUUUUUCACGGUUGCUAUACGCAACCUUUAAUUACUUUAGCGCACCCCCGUAAAAAACCAAAAAUACCCUUUUUAAUUUCUUGGUUUCUAUCCUAAGGUAAAACUCUCUCCAGCCGUCGUCCUCCUUUCAACCUCCGUUCAAUCUACAUGAUAACCGCACUUUUAAUUUUACGAUUACCAGCCAUACAACCCAUCUCAUCCACAAUCUUUCAAGGGAAUGAAGGUUUCCCUACUGGUUGGUAAUUGAAUUACUGAUAAUUAUAUUAAUAACUGAGUUCUGGGGCACUUCUUAAAGCUUUUGUAGUUUGACAAAGGAAUACUCCAUAUUGAAGGCUCCAUUAAGUUAUAUUCUUUUUUUUUUGGUUCUACUACGAGGAGUUCCCACCGCCUUCGGCGAGGUAAUCUCCCGUGGGAGUUUGCAUGGGUACCUCGAUGGGCAGCAUCCCUCCCAGUUGAGAUUUUUUCCAUUCCCAAGGCUCGAACCCGAGACCUUGAUUAAGGAGCAAGAGGCCCUUAACCACUCAUGCCAACCUCAAUUGGUCCAUUAAGUUAUAUUCUGACUGUCGAGAGCUUCAUUAUAUUAUUUGCUCAUGGAGGCUUCAAUAAAAAGUUUGUGAUAAGUAGUGACUAGUGGCUUGGAUCAAGCUUCUGUUGUGGAUUCGUUCAGCUCAUCUAAAAGUCAAAUAUUUGCAAAUCCUGUGCGACUAGAGUAUUAGACUUGUGAGCUCUAAGUUUUGCAUGCAUCUAGAAAAGUUAUUGUCUCCUUUCCAUUUAUCUUGACAACUUUCUUAAUUUUGAAUCAUGCGCACUCUAUACACUAUUUCGUUCAACGUAUACGAAAUAAUUAAUUAUGUUUUGUUCAAUUUAUAUAGAAUACUUACUUUUGUUAUAUUCAAUUUGUAUGAAAUGUUUAAUUAUAUUUUGUUCAA